rnacentral:rRNA from 1 species
GACGAACGCUGGCGGCGUGCUUAACACAUGCAAGUCGAGCGGAAAGGCCCUUCGGGGUACUCGAGCGGCGAACGGGUGAGUAACACGUGAGUAACCUGCCCCAGACUUUGGGAUAACCCUCGGAAACGGGGGCUAAUACCGGAUACGACACAGCUUCGCAUGGGGUCUGUGUGGAAAGUUUUUCGGUUUGGGAUGGGCUCGCGGCCUAUCAGCUUGUUGGUGGGGUGAUGGCCUACCAAGGCGACGACGGGUAGCCGGCCUGAGAGGGCGACCGGCCACACUGGGACUGAGACACGGCCCAGACUCCUACGGGAGGCAGCAGUGGGGAAUAUUGCACAAUGGGCGGAAGCCUGAUGCAGCGACGCCGCGUGAGGGAUGACGGCCUUCGGGCUGUAAACCUCUUUCAGCAGGGACGAAGCGUAAGUGACGGUACCUGCAGAAGAAGCGCCGGCCAACUACGUG